GGGACUGGCGGGCAGCUCCACCUGCGGUCCAGUUACUCUUACUGCUGCUCACUCUUUGAGUCCACACUGUGUUUAUGAGCUGUAACUCUCACCAUGAAGGUCUGCAGCUUCACUCCUGAAACCAGCAAGACCACGAACCCACCAGAAGGAAAAAACAAGCUGCGAGACCAGGAAGAAACUCCGAACACAUCCGAACAUCAGAAGGAACAAACUCUGCACACGCUGCCUUUAAGAACUGUAACACCCACCGGGAGGGUCCGUGGCUUUGUUCUUGAAGUCAGUGAGACCAAGAACCCACCAAGUCCGGACAUAAUCCUUUUACAAAUUAAAUCAAAGCACUUUAAUUCCUGCAA